rnacentral:rRNA from 1 species
UACGGGGGGAGCAAGCGUUGUUCGGAUUUACUGGGCGUAAAGGGCGCGUAGGCGGCCACCGCAAGUCGAUUGUGAAAUCUCCGGGUUUAACCCGGAAAGGUCAACCGAUACUGCGGGGCUAGAGUGCAGAAGGGGCAACUGGAAUUCUCGGUGUAGCGGUGAAAUGCGUAGAUAUCGAGAGGAACACCUGCGGCGAAGGCGGGUUGCUGGGCUGACACUGACGCUGAUGUGCGAAAGCUAGGGGAGCGAACGGG